UACAGAGGUCCCAAGCGUUGUUCGGAUUCACUGGGCGUAAAGGGUGCGUAGGAGGUCAGGUAAGUAGGAUGUGAAAUCCUGCCGCUUAACGGCAGAACUGCAUUCUAAACUGCUUGACUAGAGGAUCGGAGAGGAGAGCGGAAUUCUUGGUGUAGCGGUGAAAUGCGUAGAUAUCAAGAGGAACGCCAACGGCGAAGGCAGCUCUCUGGAAGAUUCCUGACUCUGAGGCACGAAGGCCAGGGUAGCAAACGGG
rnacentral:rRNA from 1 species